AGGUCCAUAUCAAUUUGUCGACGUUCAACUCAUCCAUCCUGGCUGGUGUCGCGUGCAGCCAGAUGCCCCUCUGGUUUCCAGCACUCCUCUCUGCCUGACAUCAGCAGCAGCAUUGCCUUUUUCAUGCUGCUGCUUUUGCUUGUCCAUUGUCUGUUGUGUGUCACUGGGCUGGCCAGCCUGGUUGGAGCAGAAGCAAGUAAAUUGACGCACGCACAUGCCAAUGCAGCGCAGGCUUACUCGCGAUCGGGUCGAGAUCUCUGCAGCUUUCCGAGGCUAGUGGAGCCGGUGCAUCAUAUUCGCGUGUCGGUGGUGCGUGCAGCCCGAUUCGCGUGUGGCCGCAUCUUCUGCCAUUGCAUAUGCAUGCCUGCCCCUGCCCUGUCUGUCUGUUUAGUCUGGAGUACAACCGAAAGGGGGGCGAAAGAGCGUUGUCAGGUACUAUCAUCGAACAAGAGGGAAAGGAAAACAUCAAAAUUAUUGGUGACUUGGUGAUCUACUUUGGAACAAAAUUGAAUGGGGGCGAGCACGCACCACCGGCCGUACAUACAUUGCUCAUUGGAUCCAUGGCAGCUACAUACCUGUAAGGGCCAAUUGGUGCCAUCCGCUUAGGUACAUUUGGCAGUACUCAUCCGCUUAGCUAUACAAUCACCGUCAGUACUAAUAUUCCAGCCUUCCAGGCAAGUACCGGAGUACGUACGCUAGCCAACUUUUUGAUCUGCCAAUGGAGCGGAAACUAAUCUCCACCCAGCCUGUCUGAAUUCCUCUUCUUUCUGGUCCGGAGUGCUCGUACUCCUCCCUUUGACGCGGCAGCAGGCAUGCAACCGAAAGAAGCAAGCGAUUGAUGAUGCCAUAGGACACAGAUCGCACUGGAAAAAGGAACAUGAGUACUCUGAUGCUACAAAUUCGGCAUGAUUAAGCAGGAGAUGACUGACUUGAUCGAUGAUACCUUUUGGUCGUUGUGCCUUUCCUUUUCUCCUCCUCUUUAUUCAUGUGUGUGCAUAGGUUCUUGCAGGCAGGUUCCCUUUGCUUGUUCCUGACUGCUUUCUUAUUACUUUCUUCACCUUCUUGAUCAAUCUCUCCAAGAAAGGCCACAGUGGCAACAUCCAUGUAAAUACAUGUAAUUGAUUCCCUUCUAGUGCAGUGCUCCCUUUCUUGGGAAAAUUUAAGCAGGGGCGGUUGAAAAUCAAA